rnacentral:rRNA from 1 species
UACGGAGGGUGCAAGCGUUGCUCGGAAUUAUUGGGCGUAAAGCGCACGCAGGCGGCCAGGUAAGUCAGUUGUGAAACUCCCGGGCUUAACUUGGGAACUGCAGCUGAUACUGCCUUGCUUGAGUACGGAAGAGGGGAGCGGAAUUCCCAGUGUAGAGGUGAAAUUCGUAGAUAUUGGGAGGAACACCGGUGGCGAAAGCGGCUCCCUGGUCCGAUACUGACGCUCAUGUGCGAAAGCGUGGGGAGCAAACAGG